rnacentral:rRNA from 1 species
AUACGGAGGGUGCAAGCGUUAUUCGGAAUCACUGGGCGUAAAGGACGCGUAGGCGGGAAGCCAAGUCUGAUGUGAAAUCCUAUGGCUUAACCAUAGAACUGCAUUGGAAACUGGUUACCUAGAGUAUGGGAGGGGGAGAUGGAAUUAGUGGUGUAGGGGUAAAAUUCGUAGAUAUCACUAGGAAUACCGAAAGCGAAGGCGAUCUCCUGGAACAAUACUGACGCUAAGGCGUGAAAGCGUGGGGAGCAAACGGGAUUAGAAACCCUAGUAGUCC